AACGUAGGAGGCAAGCGUUAUCCGGAUUCACUGGGCGUAAAGCGCGUGCAGGCGGUUCGGUAAGUUGGGCGUGAAAUCUCCUGGCUCAACUAGGAGAGGUCGUUCGAUACUACCGGGCUAGAGAGUGGUAGAGGAAGAUGGAAUUCCCGGUGUAGUGGUGAAAUGCGUAGAUAUCGGGAGGAACACCAGUGGCGAAGGCGAUCUUCUGGACCAUUUCUGACGCUCAGACGCGACAGCUAGGGUAGCAAACGGG
rnacentral:rRNA from 1 species